rnacentral:rRNA from 1 species
AGUGAACGCUGGCGGUAGGCCUAACACAUGCAAGUCGAACGGCAGCACAGUAAGAGCUUGCUCUUACGGGUGGCGAGUGGCGGACGGGUGAGGAAUACAUCGGAAUCUACUUUUUCGUGGGGGAUAACGUAGGGAAACUUACGCUAAUACCGCAUACGACCUACGGGUGAAAGCAGGGGAUCUUCGGACUUUGCGCGAUUGAAUGAGCCGAUGUCGGAUUAGCUAGUUGGCGGGGUAAAGGCCCACCAAGGCGACGAUCCGUAGCUGGUCUGAGAGGAUGAUCAGCCACACUGGAACUGAGACACGGUCCAGACUCCUACGGGAGGCAGCAGUGGGGAAUAUUGGACAAUGGGCGCAAGCCUGAUCCAGCCAUACCGCGCGAGUGAAGAAGGCCUUCGGGUUGUAAAGCCCUUUUGUUGGGAAAGAAAAGCAGCAGGUUAAUACCCCGCUGUUCUGACGGUACCCAAAGAAUAAGCACCGGCUAACUUCGUG